GGUGGGGAAUGCUCAGUUCGUCCGAGAAGAGCGUAUCGCUUCCUCGGGUGUUUAAACGUGAUCUUUACUAGUUUUAUAAUAGUACUCAUAAUAAUAGUAUUUUAUAUUUAAAGUAAUAAUAAUCACCAUCAUAAAAAACAUAAUAAUAAUUUCUAACUCGUUUGGCUUGGUCAUAACACUUGAAUUGAUUAUUUUAAUUACGUUCUUGUAUUACAUUAUUUAUUUAAUUAUGAAUAUACUGAAAAGAAGACAUGAAAUGGUGAGAAAAAAUACCCGGCAUCUACCCUUUUAUUUCUAUACAUACCGGUCAACGUACACACACACACAUACACACACACAAACAUAUAUUUAUACACACCUAGACAGCGGCACAUGAAGAUGGAUUUUCCGAGCGUGUAGUAAGGAAAAUCGAAGAGGAAGAGUGAGAAAAGAAUACCGUGACGAGAAAAUAAUAUUUCAAGAAAGUCAUAACUAAAUAAAAGGAAUGGAAGGGCAUGGACAAAGUGAACUGGACUAUCAUGAUCAUUAAUGUUAACCACAUUUCGUGUUCUAUCAACAACCACAUUUUGGAUGCUACCAACAAUCUACCGUAGUUCAUUUGAGUUCAUAUAAUAUAAAUAGUGAAAUAAACCACAAUUACCUAGGCUAAAUACGAUAACAAAUUCAGUUAAAGUAUAUAUGCGACAAUUCAUAUACAUCUAUUAUACGAGCACGAAUAUGUGUUAUUAUACUGACGGAUGAAUUCAGUAACAAAAGUUUGAACAUUUAAAAGUUUUUAGAACUAUCUAAAACUCAUAAGUAAGGAAAACAUUUAAAAGAAAGGAAAAAUAAUUUCCAGUAAUAAAUAAUGCUAAUAAAUUUCACGAUUCCAUUUCCCGUUUUAUUCUACAAGAGUGUGAGAAUAAAAAAGCAAAAACCAAUAAAAGUCCACAGUUUUCUCUCCGAUUAGCAAGUCAUAAUUUCUCCCUUUUUUAUCUCAUUCGCGUCGAAUUUUAGCACUUGCAAACAGUAAAUAGAAAAGGAAAUUGAUAAAAAGAAAACUACUGUCGUACCCGAAUUUUAUUACAUCUUCGCUUAAUUUAAUGUGUCAUUACUAAAUUCCUUAGCUGGGGAUAAAAAAAACUCCGACAUUGCUUACGAUCUUCUACUUUGCUCAGACGAAACUUUUAUACCGCUGAAUUUAUUGUUUUGCUGUCGCAAUAAUAAAAUUUUAAUUUACGUCGAGAAAAUGAUUAAGUAAAAACCCAAAAACUGCAUCAAUUUCAAUAAUUUAAAACAUCAAUUAUAAUUCUCGAUAUAGAACAAAUUUCUUCGAGUUUUUAUGGCUUGAUGUGAUAUUUCAAAUAUAUUUUUUUUAACAUUGAAAUAUCUUAUCAGAUUUUCUCUUCAAGAUUUACCAAAAUACGCAUCUUACUUUUAAAAAAUCUGACACAUUUUUAAACUGAUUUAAAAUGUUGAGAUAAAAUAAGAUAACCGAUAUGUUAAAUAUACUUAUAAUCAAAUUUGACGUUUAUUUUGAUGUUAAAAACGCCCUAAAAAUUUAAUAUUCAAAAAGAAAUUUUGAAAAUCAAAAAUUACCCACUUAUCUUAGAACGAUAAAAUUGUUGAUUGAUUUUUUAGUGGAAGAUAAUGCUGUUAAACGAUUUCUUCUGAGAACCAUAUUUCAUCUCCAACACGGCAUGUAGAGAUUUUACGAAAAAAAUUAACAAAAAUUGCAUGACUCUUCACCCUCUAACUCCGACUUCUUUCUUCUUUUAUAUUCUUAAUACACAAGUUUUUUUGUUCCCUUAUAUCUCGAUCACCUAAAAAAUAAUUUAUAAAAAUUAAAGCCUAAAUCUCAUUGCGUGCACAAGUCUCUUUAUUGCGUGACCUUGGCGUGUUUGCCUUUGAAAACUUCCGGAAUUACAUGACUGGGCCUAACUAUAUUAGACCAAUGUGAGUACGUGUAUUUUAAUACUUCAUUCCACGCCACUGUUCUUGGCAUAUGCAAUACACAUUAUAUAUUUAUAUAUAUAGAUAUUGGCAGCAAAACUAUUAUAUCUGCAAACAUAAAAUGUGUGAAUGUGUUAGUACAUUACAGUAGUUUUAUUUAACAAACUAAACUAAAAUGAGUAAAGUAUACAUACAAUAUAUACGAUAGGAUUGUAGAAUGUAAAAUACAAUUAUUGCACAGAGUAGGUAGUAGUGAACGAGAUGGGAGAUUAAAAAGACAGAGAUGAAAAUGACGGUCUGGAAGAUGGCGCCGUCAUCUGAAGUGCGUGCAGCUGCCUCGUUUCUAAACCCCAAAAACACGAUACGAUAGUAAUACACCAGCAGCAGACUCUUAAACAACUGUGCGGGCUGAGCUUAGUUUAGCUCAGACCUUCAUUUUUAAACGUUGUUCAAAUGAACCUAUUUGUUUUUGUGAAUAGAAGGCAUUAAUAUUGUUCUACAUAAAAUACAAAUAAAAUAAAAAUAAAGUCAACAGUUAAUCACCUUCGAAAAUAUGACUCGAGGUUUUCUCAAGUGCCACGACAUUCUUUGCCUUUUAAUAAUACAUAUCCGUUAUAUUAGUUGAGUUUAUGAACAAUCAGUAAUUCAUGGUUUGAUCUGAUUCCAAGGGCAAGUUUAUCAAGGUUAUCGCGAUGACUUAUUUUUUGAGUGAAUUAAUAAUUGUAUCUGUUGUAUUAUAUCUGAACGAAAUAGGUAUAUUCAAUGCA